ACCCAGGCAGACAGACAUGCAA
rnacentral:misc_RNA from 1 species